UUACGACCAUAUCAUGUUGAAACAUUGGUUCCCGUACGAUCACUGAAUUUAAGCAACAUCUAGCCUGAUCAGUACCUAGAUAGGAGACAGCUUGGGAAUAUCAGGUGCUGCAA